GAUCAGAACUCCCAUCAUCCCAUACAAACUUCUUUUCCCAACAGGAAAGAUUUCUUCUGGGAAACAUGAUUGCUGUAAUAUUUCUGAAGCAAUCAGAAAUAUUCCUUGAUUCUGUGGUGCAUUACUAAAUAAUACAGUAAUGCACAUUUUAAAAAAAAAUUUCAGAAGAACUGCUUUGGACCUUUCAUUAGCAGAGCAAUUCUCUGCUAUUCCUUAAAGCAACCUCUUUUUUCCAGACCUCCACACCAGCCUGAAAAAAGUGCCAGCUGCAUGAUCACCUUAACUACAUUAUGUCUCAUGUAAAGUCAUUGAACAUAAACAUUUGUGCCUUCUCCAGCAUCAGAGGUCAACACUGUUAAUGUUCUUUUUAUCCUGCUUCUUCAAAGUCCAUUGAUAACAGUCUUAUCACUGAUCUCUUACCUGCUAUACUUCCACUAGCCCACAGAGAAAUGAAACAUAAGUUGGUAGUAAUUAGAGUGUGAAAAUAAACAGGGUCCACUUUUAACUGCACUAAUAAACGUAUUGGAAACAAAAGAUUCACAAAUACAGAUACAUGCUAUAUUAAUUGUAAUGUGAUUCAAAAUAAGCAAAGUUAAUAUGAAUGAUUAGCAUGGAUAUAAAUGAGAACUUGCUCUGUGAUUAAUGUUCCUUGAAUAAAGCAUGAAGAGUAAUUUAAAUGCCUAAGACUGGAAUGAGAUUUUAAGUAAACUUGGAAUUAUUUGUUGUUAAAUUCUGUGCUUUUAGAAACUACAAUAAGCCUAAAAGCUUCUGCAACUAAUAUAAAAUUAAAUAAUUCAUCAAUCACAUUUCAUGAUUUAGAAUACAAAUAUUCUUUUUAGAGCCAUUUGAUCUGAGCUAUAUCUGCAGACUCAUUUUUAAAUUGUGUGUUUAUAUUGUAUGUUCGUGUAGACCCUUAUGUGCAUGUACCAGUUGAAGCUGGGGAAAUGAAAUUGUACUUUUCCUAUGUCAUUUGACUGUAUUUUUUUCUCUAAAAAGCAGGAUGUGAUAUCAGAAGAUAAUAAUGUCCGGCAUUGCAGAGGAUGUUACCCUUUUGUUAUCCUACCCAUAUCAGGAAAUAAACAAUUCCUUAUCAGUACUCUUAAAUGUCACACCUUUGUCACCCCUUUAAAAAAGUAUGUUCUAAUCCCAUCCUCUUACUAUUGCAGCUCACUUCCAAACACCACCCUCCAAAAUCAAUACAGAUGGGGAAAAAGUUCUCAAAUAUUUUGGAAGCUUUCUAGUGAGGGAAAUGACUAAUGGGGUUUAUCCUGCAGCAAGAUUGUACGUCUAUUUUAUAUAACUGUACAUUUUGUUAUUUGGCAGCAGCUAGACAAUUUAACAUCCUCAGAAUCUUCCUUGAGAGAUAGUUUUCUAAAGCAGUAUUUUAUAGCUGGAAAGUUAAAGAUCUUAAGAUUUGCAACUAAUAUUAGUAAUAAUUUCAGUUUAGAAAAUGAAAGUUAAGCUAGCCAUGGGGUUUAAAAACACGUAUUUCACAUUGCUUAUUAUCCCUAUUGUGUACUGUAUUACACUUCAAUGCAGAUCUUCAGUGCUGAUGUGCACAGUCUACUUUACCCAGCAAUGUGAUACUUAAUCUAACCUAGAAGUCCUGAAGGCUAGAUUUCAAUAAUUACAUUAGUUAUCUGCCUUCAGCACUCUUACAUAAAUCCAGCAUCUAUCACCAUGUCUCACUUAUUUCCAGCAACCGUGUAUUUUCCCUAUUCCUGAUCUGAAAAAAUUUCAAAAAACAAUAGGCACUGAACGUAUUACAGAAAAAUAAGGGUUGUUUUUUCUUCUCCUGCUUAUAACAUGGUCAACUUGUUAGAGCUGAGCACUAUAUUGCCUUUGAUUCAGGAACCACACUGCACAAACUGCAAAAGGUCUCACAUUGGGCUAUUGACAAAUGAAAAGCCAAUGUCAUUUGCACAGUAAGGAGGCUUUUACUUUACAAUUUAAGUGAAGGCAGAACACAUCUCUCAGUCAGAUAUCUCUAAUAUUAUUUAAGAGUGCAUCCAAUUUCCCACUUUCAUUUAUAGUAAGGUAAUUAAGAUAAUCCUUUUAAAUCAGAGGUCUUCAAACUUGACCCUUUUUAUGACUUGUGGACUUGAACUCCCAGAAUUCCUCAGCCAGGCACACUAGCUGAGGAAUUCUGAGAGCUGAAGUGCACAAGUCAUAAAAGGGCCAAGUUUGAAGACCCCUGUUUUAAAUGAUCUGAAGUGCUUUUUUCCUGGUUUCUUCUUACCUGGACUAAGUUGCCAGUUAUGAGCUCAGCUGGCAGGUGACUCACUUGCUUAUCUUUAGUUUGUUUAUGGCUUCUAUUUCUUUCUCAGCCUUCCUAUAAUCUCUCACAUUUAAAGUUACCUGAUUUCAAGUAAUUAGGUAAUUCCAAGGACAUCACUAUAUGUGUUCUUUCUACCUGUCUAAAAUCACUUGUAUGUUGUUCACUCCCACUUUAUGAUCAGCAUUCAGUAGCUGAGCCAAUUGAUUCUAGUGGGUGCAGUGAAGAAUUACAUUACAGGUAAUUUCCCAUAAGUAUACUGAAACUGCAGAUCGUCAGACAGUCUUAUUUCUUCCUUGGUAAGAACUUUUACUGUAUCCUAUUAUUUUAUCCCAGGUCUCAAACCGCCCACUGCCUGCCUUUAGCAACCACAUUUUACAAGUCUUUUAAGUGCAAGCACACACUUUGGAGUGUGUGUUCAUUGUCAAUUAUCCCUAUAUUCACACAUACAUUAGGUAGUAAGCAAAAUAUCUUUGUAAUAAUGCAGUUGCAGAGUGGUACAAAACAGGAUGUUAAAACAGCAAAAUGUAAUGCAUCCUCUAUUUUUGAUAUAAAACUUUUUUUAAAAAAAAAUCAACUAUAGAGCGUUUCCCUUUCAUUUUAUUCAUUUCAUUCAGGCUAAAGAUAAGUUACACCAUUUACUUUUAAUAAAUCUUCUCAAAUUACUUGCCUACAAACACCAGCAGCAGUAAUAACAAUUUCAAACUGAGUCUAUCUGAAUGACUGGCUACACACUGUGGGAAUCAGAUUGUAUAUUGAAAGAUGUUUUGGCUCUUAGUCUCAGAGGUCAAAUAGAGGAAGUUGAAUCGUAGGUCACAUACUGUAUCCCACUAAGCCAUUAUUUGCUUAAGCAUGUCUCAUCACAUUUCGCUAGGUUCAUACCACAUGCUAAACUAAAACCAAACUAAACCAAUCAUAUUAUGGUUCAAUGUAAAGUGCAAGCCUAAGCAAUGUAUUUAAAGCUGAUUUCAUUUACUACCAUCAUAUAGCAGAUGAAAAGGGCUGAUAUUGAACUACGAGGAGGUAAAAUUCCAUCCCUACUAAAGUUAAGUGCAUUCUUGUUUGCUAUGGAAAUCUCAAAACUGAACAAUUCAACUUAGAUGUCAGUCAUUGCCAUAAUGUUGCUGAUUAGCUUGGCACUUCCUCUGAGAGUAUAAUGCCACCUUCAGAGCCACCUAUGUCCUUUUUGUUCAACAGGUUCCUUUCUCAAUGGGUAGCUGUUGCCUGCUAAUAUCCAGCCCAAGUCCAAAGAAUUUCCCUAUUCACUACCCCAGAACUAUCCAAAAUAUAGCUCACAUAGGUUUUUGAGUCCUUUUAGACUGGCAAGUACCAACCUAUUCCUAGACUAAAUACUAGUUCUUUUGCUGCCAUCCAUUGGAGAAACAUGUCAGAAGCCAGAGAGGUGGUUGGUAAAUUCCUUGAUUUUUUUUUAAUCUGCCUUUAUCUCCUUUUUGUUCAAUUUAAAUAGCUUUUCUUGUGCUAGCAAUGAGUCCAUUUUGUUGCCCCAAAGCUUCAAGAUGCAUUGUGGAAUCUGGAACUUUCAAAGUUUUACAUUUCUGCAUGCACUGGUCUGCCACUAUUCAGAUUGCUGGGUAGAAUUCUAAUUGUAAAUUGUGCAAGUGAUUUCAUAUCAUCGUUGACAUUACAGGCUACAUUGUCAUUGCUUAAAGCCUCCCAAUGACUUUAACAUUUUAUUUUAAGUUGCUUGCAUUUAAAAAUAAAAUGAAAUUUCUGAAGGUUAAACAAAAGCAGGAACUCAUGAAUGGAUUUUAUUCAUUUACAACAAUAUGCAGUAUGCUAAAGAAUCCCUGUUCUCUCAUAAAAUACCAGACAUAGAGGAUGUGUUUAUGUCAAUUAUGUUAUUAUGUCAUGUGGUUAUUUAGUUUGGCUUAAUGUAUUGCAUGAAUUCAGGAAAUAAAUCAUUGGCUAUGUUUGCUAUGUUGUAUAAACUCAACCAACUGUACUUUAGUUGUAUUUUACUUUGGCUGUGCUUAAUAAACUAUGUUGAAAAGAUGAAGGCUCCUUCCAGUUAAGCUUGAUUUGUAAUGAUUACACAGGCAGUUUCCAUGGAAACACAGCAGAAGUGGUUUGAUAAUUGUCUUUACUUGUUUGUUUCUUUCAUUGUUUCAUUGAUUGAUUCUUUGGGUUUCCCAGUGAUCUCCAAUCCAAACCUGCUUAGCAUUUGAAAUAUCAGCCAAGUUUGUCAGGUACAGCUGUCUCUUUUGAGGAAAAAAUACAGAUUUAAUUUGAGUUUGAUUUUACUACAAGGAUGCCCUCAUAAUGUUCUCUUGGUAACAAAAUAGAAGUAGUUUCCUGCUGUCUUCUUCUACUUAACUUUCCAGUCCAACCCAUAACCCUAUAUUUCCUGGUAAUCGCCCAUUUCAAUAUUGACCUUUCUUUCUGAGAGAUAUUUUAUCAUGCAUGGGAGGGGCUCGCGAAAAAGCAAAAACAAUACUGGAAACAAAUACGUACAUGUGUCCAGAGAAUUUUAAAAAUUAACAGUCAGGUGAAACUAGUACUUUUCUUAUGGAUGCUUCACUAGAAAAGCUAAUGGACAAUUGGUCUUAUAUAUUGUAACAACAUUGUUGCUGUUAUAUGCACAAAAACAGAAGACUUUAGAAACACUAAUAAUGGAGGAAUGACUUGUGAAGUUGUCUGUGUUUGCCAAAAAGGUUAAAUUGACUUGUUUGAUUAAGGAGGGAACUACAACUAUUUUAUAAAAGACUUGGGAAAAAAAUCAGACUUUUUGCUGAAAAUGGUUAAAAAUGAACUUUCUGUGACUAUGUUUCUGACUGCUGAUUUUGGGAUUUAUUGAUUAAAAAGAUUUGUUUAUGGGAAGAAGGAAGUGAUUGGAAGUCGCUUCUUUAGAUUUUUUUCUUCACUUUUGUUCUUCCCUUUUAUCUUUUAUUUCUUGUAUAUUUCUGUAAUUUUUGAUUUUUUUGUAAAAUAUUUUAAGAAAAAAUGUAAAGCAUAUAAUCUUGCCAAGAAGGAUAAACUGCUAGCAUGGAAUAGGAACUCAAUUUAAAAACAAGUAAAGGAAAUAAGCUCCUGCUUAUUUUCCUUGUAUAAUAGUUUUCAAUAAUAAAACUCAAAAGCCUUUUUAUUUAACAGAAUAACGGCAUUGGAAGGGACUUUGGAGUUCUACUAAUUCAACUGCCUGCUCAGGCAGGAAGCUCUGUACAUUUCAGACAAAUGAUUGUCUGAUCUCUUCUUUAAAACCUCCAGUUUUGGAAUAUCCAAGCUUCUAGAAGCAAGUUGUUCCACUCAACAUUAUAAAAGCAAAAUAAACUUAUAGGAAAGGAUUGGAAAUGGCAUGUGAUCUCUUUCAUAUAUAUUAAACACAUGACUCUUUUGUUGUUGUUAGUUGCGAAGUCGUGUUCAACCCAUCGCGACCCCAUGGACAAUGUUCCUCCAGGCCUUCCUGUCCUCUACCAUCUUCUGGAGUCCA